rnacentral:sRNA from 1 species
ACUUGUUAUUUGCCCCCACUAGUAUCCCCAUGAGGUGCCACAGAUCUCUAUCCGAAAUCCCCGAGGACUUUCAGAUGAACAGAUCCACACGAUCUUACAGGUGCUGGGCCAUGUGGCCAAGGCUGGGCUGGGCACUGCCAUGCUCUAUGAACUCAUUGAGAAAGGGAAGGAAAUUCUCACAGAUAACAACAUCCCUCAUGGCCAGUGUGUCAUCUGCCUCUAUGGUUUUCAGGUGGGUUUCUCUCUUGGGACCUGGCAUUCUGUUUGGGACCAGCAGAUGAGGGCUGUGAGAGAGCUCUGACUUAGUGCCCUACAUCUGCCUUCCCUCUAGGAGAAGGAGGCCUUUACCAAAACACCCUGUUACCACUACUUCCAUUGCCACUGCCUUGCUCGGUACAUCCAGCACAUGGAGCAAGAGCUGAAGGCACAAGGACAGGAGCAGGAACAGGAACGGCAGCA